UUCUGAGAAGGAAGUUAGCCUUUUUCCAUUUUUUUUUUAAUUCUGGAAACUUUCGAGAAAUUUUCAACAACUUAAAGUUAUAUUUCUAAGCUUGUCAUUUGUAACGUGGUGAAGAUGGCAAGAUGAUCUGGGGUUUGAGGAUUAAAGCUACACUUGAUAGAGCUAGGAGGCUUACUGAGGAGUAUUCUUAGGCACUUCUUCAAAUAUUUCCCGAGAAAGUUCAGUUGCUUGGAAAAGCUUUCGGGAUUCCUGAGAACAGCAUAAGGACAUAUGCAGAAGCUGAGAUUCGUCUGGCGUUGUCUUUCAGGUUCCCAAACUUUGCACCAUUCUCUUGAAAGCUGUUAGAAGCACCAUAAAUUCUCAGGGUUGGGAUGUUCUUGUUCCAGGAGCUGCUGGGGGAACUCUGGUUCAGGU